rnacentral:rRNA from 1 species
AUUGAACGCUGGCGGCAGGCUUAACACAUGCAAGUCGAGCGGAGAUGAGGUGCUUGCACCUUAUCUUAGCGGCGGACGGGUGAGUAAUGCUUAGGAAUCUGCCUAUUAGUGGGGGACAACAUUCCGAAAGGAAUGCUAAUACCGCAUACGCCCUACGGGGGAAAGCAGGGGAUCUUCGGACCUUGCGCUAAUAGAUGAGCCUAAGUCGGAUUAGCUAGUAGGUGGGGUAAAGGCCUACCAAGGCGACGAUCUGUAGCGGGUCUGAGAGGAUGAUCCGCCACACUGGGACUGGGACACGGCCCAGACUCCUACGGGAGGCAGCAGUGGGGAAUAUUGGACAAUGGGCGGAAGCCUGAUCCAGCCAUGCCGCGUGUGUGAAGAAGGCCUUUUGGUUGUAAAGCACUUUAAGCGAGGAGGAGGCUACCUGGAUUAAUACUCUAGGAUAGUGGACGUUACUCGCAGAAUAAGCACCGGCUAACUCUGUGCCAGCAGCCGCCGUAA